rnacentral:misc_RNA from 1 species
GAUGAAGAACGUAGCGAAAUCCGAUAAGUAGUGUGAAUUGCAGAAUUCAGUGAAUCAUCGAAUCUUUGAACGCACAUUGCGCCCUUUGGUAUUCCUUAGGGCAUGCCUGUUCAAGCGUCAUUUAAACCUUCAAGCUCAGCUUGGUGUUGGGUGACUGUCCGCUUCACCGCGGACUCGCCUCAAAAUUAUUGGCGGCCGGUACAUUGGCUCUCGAGCGCAGCAGAAACGCGUAACUCGAGGUCCUCGUGCUGGCUCCCAGAAGCUAUCUUCACAAUUUUGACCUCGGAUCAGGUAGGGAUACCCGCUGAACUUAAGCAUAUCAAUAAGCGGAGGA